rnacentral:lncRNA from 1 species
CCUGAAUGAAAUUAUAUAAGUGGAAGCAGAUGCAUGGAGCUAGAAUCCUUAUAGAUUAUUCGAAUUUUUUUUUGUUUUGUUUUGUUUUUCCUUUUUUGAGAUGGAGUUUCUCUCAUUUCCCAGGCUGGAGUGCAAUGGCGCGAUCUCUGCUCACUGAAACGUCCGCAUCCUGGAUUCAAGCAAUUCUCCUGCUUCAGCCUCCCUAGUAGCUGGGAUUACAGGAGCGUGUCAUCACACCUGGCUAACUUUUUGUAUUUUUAGUAGAGACGGGGUUUCUGCAUGUUGGUCAGGCUGGUUUCAAACUCCCAACCUCAGGUGAUCCACCCACCUUGGCCUCCCAAGAUGCUAGGAUUACAGGCGUGAGCCACCACUCAUGGCCUUUAUUUGAAGUUUUGAAUUCAGCUAGGCUGAAGCAUUGUGGACUUGCUGACUACUAACAAUAUUCCAAAUCAAACAGUAAUUAUAUACAGGAGUGGAGUUGCCUCAGCCUGAGUUCUCCAGAAAGAAUUGCCUGGGACAAGUAUAUAAGGACAGGUGGAGUAUUUUGCGAAUUUAUCCCCAGAAUUAGGAUUGGAGAUUGGGAAAAAAGAACCAAGAAAGAGAGAAAAUUAACACAAGGGUACAUUCCCAAGUUGUUUAAAGCAGGGCAAUGUGAUCUUGAUUUUACAAGGACCUCCUAAAGAACACUAAGGUGUAUAUAUAUAUGCUCAGAAUCGUCUGUCCAAAGGACGAAAAAGGGGAAUAUUCAUCCACCAGCUCUUAUCUCCAUCAAUCCAGAUGUUUCUCCAGAAUGUGUUAACUCCCUUAUAUUUCUAGAUUUCCCAAGCUUAGUUGCAAGAUGGAUUUUACCGAAGUGACUCAUGCCAAAAAGUGGAGACAUGAGGUGUGUUACAUAUGAGGACUACAUAGAAGCAUAAAAGAAGGCAAAACACCACUUUGUCAAGAAAAGCUCUUUUUUUCCUGAGAACAGAAGUCUAAACUGAGUAAGAGUUAAAUAAUUUUGAGCUUCACAUGUUUCAACUAGUUGUGUUUUCUGCUUUAAGCUAAAGUUUGUUCAGCAGAAGAAUAAAGGAUAGAAACAAAGCUGAAAGUAAUAUGACAACUUGAGAGAUAAUCCCUGCCUUCAG